rnacentral:rRNA from 1 species
UACGUAGGGCGCAAGCGUUGUCCGGCAUCAUUGGGCGUAAAGAGCUCGUAGGUGGUCUGUUACGUCUGCUGUGAAAACCUAGGGCUUAACCCUGGGCCUGCAGUGGAUACGGGCAGACUAGAGGUAGGUAGGGGAGAAUGGAAUUCCCGGUGUAGCGGUGAAAUGCGCAGAUAUCGGGAGGAACAGCGGUGGCGAAGGCGGUUCUCUGGGCCUUACCUGACACUGAGGAGCGAAAGCGUGGGGAGCGAACAGG